rnacentral:miRNA from 1 species
AGUUGCCUUUUUGUUCCCAUGC